UACAGAGGUGGCAAGCGUUGUUCGGAAUUACUGGGCGUAAAGGGCGCGUAGGCGGUCCCGUCAGUCCCUUGUGAAAUCCCCCGGCUCAACUGGGGAACUGCAAGGGAUACAGCGGGGCUUGAGUUCGGGAGAGGGAAGCGGAAUUCCGGGUGUAGCGGUGAAAUGCGUAGAUAUCCGGAGGAACACCGGUGGCGAAGGCGGCAUCCUGGACCAACACUGACACUGAGGAGCGAAAGCCAGGGGAGCAAACGGG
rnacentral:rRNA from 1 species